UACGUAGGAGGCGAGCGUUGUCCGGAGUUACUGGGCGUAAAGGGUGCGCAGGCGGCUCUCUAGGUGUCGGAUGAAAUCUUUCUGCUCAACGGGAAGGGGGUCCGGCAAACGGGAGAGCUUGAGGCUCGGCGAGGGGCGUGGAAUUCCGGGUGGAGCGGUGAAAUGCGUAGAGAUCCGGAGGAACACCGACGGCGAAAGCAGCGCCCUGGACGAGGCCUGACGCUCGGGCACGAAAGCUGGGGGAG
rnacentral:rRNA from 1 species